GGGAAAAUUCUGCAAUGUACGAAAGUAUGACAGAGCAAGCCAAAGUGCUUUUCUUUUAGAAAAGCUUUUGUGUGCUGUAAAAAGGCACACGAAUAAGGACCGGGAGAGACUGGUGCCAGCCGCCGCGGUAAUCCCAGCGGUCCAAGUCGCAGCCACAUUUGUUGGGUCUAAAACAUCCGUAGCUUGCCAUUUAAGUCUUUUGUGAAAUCGGGACUCUUAAGGUUCCGUCGGGCAAAAGAUACUGUUUGGCUAGAGACCGGGAGAUGUAAAGAGUACAGAUAGGGUAGUGGUUAAAUACGUUGAUCCUUUCUGGACUAACGAUAGCGAAGGCACUUUACAAGCACGGAUCUGACAGUGAGGGAUGAAGGCUAGGGGCGCAAAGUGGAUUAGAUACCCAUGUAGUCCUAGCAGUAAACACUGCACACUAAACAUUGGUGCCUCUUCGAGAGGCAUCAGUGCUGUAGGGAAGCCGGAGAGUGUGCUACCUGGGAAGUAUAGACGCAAGUCCGAAACU
rnacentral:rRNA from 1 species